CAGUGUUUACUAAAGUAGACAACAACUCAAUCUUUCAGUUUUAGAAAAAUACAUUCAUACAUAUGUUCGCAUACAUGUCUAUACAUUUUGAAUAUGCAAAUAUGAGUAGCAAUGUAUAUUUAUAAGAAAAGACUUGACCUUGAUUGCUUUAUGAACUGUACAAGAUGCAAACUUUUACUUUUAGAAGAACUAGAACUGAUCUAAACUGGAACUUUGCAUUCAUUGAUGUAAGAAAGAAAGAAAUGAUGGAGAGAGAUAGACUGGUGCUGUUGUGAACUGUGUGCGUGUGCUUGAGUCGAGUCAGGGCGGGGAAGGCUGAGCUUGGGAAGCUCCGGCGGCGGCGCUAACCUUCGUGGGGGUGUGUCUGAACUGUGGUGGUUGAGUUACAGAGCGGUUGCAGAGGGCUAGACUGGAGGUCAGGAGAGGCGGUCGGCGGCGGUCCUCGCUGCCGUCGGCCAAGGUUGAGCAAGGGAGGCCGCGGCACGGCGGCUCUGCCCGCUGCUGUCGGGCCGAGGACGGAGAGAGAGAGGGUGAGAAGGGGCGGCGACCAGCUACUGGUCGUGGCAGCCGGAGUCAGCAGAGGGAGGCAGAGCUCGGCGGCCAUGGCUGCUGUUGCUCGGCCACGGCCGGAGGCGGAGAAGAGGGAUGGCUGGGGUUCAGGCGCUGCGGCAGCUCGACGCUGUUGUCGUCGCCGGUGAUGGGAACUCCAGCGGCCGUGAGAGCAGAAUAAAGAGGAAGGGAGCGGCGAUCUCGCCGUCGCCAAGGAGGAAGGUGAUGGCGGUCGGAGUUCAGUGAGGCGAACAGAGGGAGACGGGCG
rnacentral:lncRNA from 1 species